UUUUAAGUAGCUCAGUUGGUAGAGCGUCAGCCUUCCAAGCUGAAUGUCGCGGGUUCGACCCCCGUCUUUCGCUCUA
rnacentral:tRNA from 1 species